UACGGGGGGAGCAAGCGUUGUUCGGAUUUAUUGGGCGUAAAGAGCUCGUAGGCGGUCUGUCGCGUCGGCUGUGAAAUCCCGAGGCUCAACCUCGGGUCUGCAGUCGAUACGGGCAAACUUGAGUGUUGCAGGGGAGACUGGAAUUCCUGGUGUAGCGGUGAAAUGCGCAGAUAUCAGGAGGAACACCGGUGGCGAAGGCGGGUCUCUGGGCAACAACUGACGCUGAGGAGCGAAAGCGUGGGGAGCGAACAGG
rnacentral:rRNA from 1 species